UGAUGGAGGGGGAUAACUACUGGAAACGGUGGCUAAUACCGCAUAACGUCGCAAGACCAAAGAGGGGGACCUUCGGGCCUCUUGCCAUCAGAUGUGCCCAGAUGGGAUUAGCUUGUUGGUGAGGUAACGGCUCACCAAGGCGACGAUCCCUAGCUGGUCUGAGAGGAUGACCAGCCACACUGGAACUGAGACACGGUCCAGACUCCUACGGGAGGCAGCAGUGGGGAAUAUUGCACAAUGGGCGCAAGCCUGAUGCAGCCAUGCCGCGUGUAUGAAGAAGGCCUUCGGGUUGUAAAGUACUUUCAGCGGGGAGG
rnacentral:rRNA from 1 species